rnacentral:lncRNA from 1 species
AUGGAGGACGAGCAGCCCGACAGCCUGGAGGGCUGGGCGCCGCUCCGGGAGGGCCUCUUCGCCGAUCCCCAGGGGCACCGGUUGCGCUUCCUGGUGGCUUGGAACGGCGCGGAGGGCAAGUUUGCUGUGACUUGUCACGACCGCACCGCGCAGCAGCCGCAGCGGCGCGAGGGGCCCGGCUGGGGCUGGAGCACAAGCCCGAGGCCGCCGUGUCCCCGCCCAGCUGGGCCGGCCGGCUCUCGGCCGCGGGGUUCCGCGGCGCGCGCCGGCAGCUAGCGGCGCUGUGGCCGCCUCUGGAACACUGCUUCCCACGGCUGCCGCCGGAGCUGGACGUGGGCGGCGGCGGGGCCUGAGGUCUGGGGCUCGGGCGGUGGGCGCUGCUGUGGCCGGCGCGCGUGGGCCCCGGCGAGGCGGCACUGCAGGAGCUUUGCGGGCAGCUGGAGCGCUACCUGGGCGCGGCGGCCCACGGCUGUGGCUGCGCCACCGUGCGCGACGCUCUCUUCGCGGCUAACGGCCGCGCGGCCGACUGCGAGAGCCCGCGCGAGUUUCGGGAGCGGGCCCUGCGCGCCUGAUGGGUCGAGGCGGACGCGCGGCUGCGUCAGGUUAUUCAAGGACACCGAAAAGCCAACACCAUGGUAGCAUUAAUGAAAGUUUACCAAGAGGAAGAUGAAGCCUACCAGGAAUUAGUUACCGUGGCAACCACGUUCUUCCAGUACUUACUGCAGCCAUUUAGGGCUAUGCGAGAAGUUGCAACUUUAUAAGUCCUUGGAUGAGGAUGACCUAGGUCCUAGAAGGGUAGUUGCCCUGGAGAAAGAAGCUGAAGAAUGGACCAGACGGGCUGGAGAAGCUGUCGUCUCUAUUCAAGAUAUCACAGUGAAUUAUUUUAAGGAGACAGUAAAAGCAUUAGCAGGAAUGCAGAAAGAAAUGGAACAGGAUGUGAAGAGAUUUGGCCAGGCUGCCUGGGCCACAGCAAUUCCCAGGUUGGAAAAACUUAAGCUAAUGCUAGCUCAAGAGACUCUGCAACUCAUGAGAGCGAAAGAGUUAUGUUUAAAUCACAAAAGAGCUGAAAUUCAGGGAAAGAUGGAAGAUCUUCCAGAACAAGAAAAAAAUAUAAAUGUUGUAGAUGAAUUAGCAAUACAAUUUUAUGAAAUUCAGUUAGAACUAUAUGAAGUUAAAUUUGAGAUAUUAAAAAACAAAGAAAUACUGCUUACUACACAGUUGGACUCUCUUGAAAGACUUAUAAAAGAAAAACAGGAUGAAGUUGUCUAUUACGAUCCAUGUGAAAGUCCAGAGGAACUUAGUCAUUGACUGUGGUGGGGCUGCAGGACGAUAAGAAUUCGGAAGUGAAAGAACUCAGAAGGCAGUGCCAGCAGCUGGAGUCUAUUAAACGGGGCAGGAUCUGUGUCAAAAGAGCUUCUCUCCAGAGUAGAAAGGAUCAGUGCGAAGAAAAUCAUUGGCUCAGAUUGCAACAGGCUGAAGAAAGCAUAAGAUAUUCUCGUCAGCAUCACAGUAUUCAGAUGAAAAGAGACAAGAUAAAAAGGAGCAAAAGAAAAAAGAAUGGAUCAACCAAGAACGUCAAACACUCCAACAAUUGAGAGCAUUUAAAGAU